rnacentral:tRNA from 1 species
UGCGCUGAUAGAAUAUGUUUUUAGUUCAUGGCUCUGAAGAAGCUAUAGAGGUUAUCUAGCCUCAGCGCAA